ensembl:lncRNA
ACAGGAAGACUCACCGGAAGUAUCGCCGAAGGAGGCCUUUUCGACAGGGCACGUGGCAGCAGGAGAAGUAUCCAGGAGCUGGAAAGAAGAGGGAAAAGAGACCUCGUGUAGUAACGGUGUGAGUACCCUAAACCAUCGUACAGCAGUAUAAUCAUCUAGAGUGAACCAUCUGUGAGCGUUUUGUGAGUUUGUGGCAUAGUAUGUGAGCGGCCCCACCGUGGAGGAGGAUUGUGGGUGAGCCGGGACCAGUGAGUGAGAGAGGAUGUUGGGCUGUUGUGGCGGCAACGUUUAAAUCUGAAUAUUCGUGGCAUCAGUGUCUUCACGACUCCCAGGAAGAGUCUUUGGUCAGACGGGGUGUUGACCCUAAAUUCACCAGAGUGUGUGGAGUGCAGUGGGCCCGACGAAAUCCUGUGAAGGAAGUGAAUACCGAGGCGGGCGAAGAAAACAUCUCCAACUAUAUGCCGUCGAUGACAUCCUGACCCUUCUUCCCCACGUAACGGUGGUGGGAAACAAUUUCAAGUAAGAACAGUGUGGAUCUAUUGGGAAGUAUUAAUGGUGAGGAGUUGGCUGCUGUAGGAGGAAAUCAGCUGUGCGUGUAUUAUUACCUGCUGUGGAGUUCUUCAAAGGUUCGCCCCUGUCUAGAUCUCUUGACUUGUCGGUUGGUAGAAAGAAGAGGGAAGCGUUCGACCCAUCCA